AGGAUGAACGCUGGCGGCGUGCCUAACACAUGCAAGUCGAACGUCCUGUCUCGCAAGAGGCAGGGAGUGGCGGACGGGUGAGUACCACGUGGGUCAUCUACCGUGAGGUGAGGAAUACCGGCGAGAAAUCGCCGACAAGACCGCAUAGGCUCGAUGCAAGUCGAGCAAAGCUCUUUCGAGAGAGGGAGCGCCACACGAGGGGCCUGCGCCCGAUUAGCUAGCUGGUGGAGUAACGGUUCACCAGGGCGACGAUCGGUAGCUGGUCUGAGAGGACGAUCAGCCACACUGGGAUUGAGAACGGCCCAGACUCCUACGGGGGGCAGCAGUGAGGAAUUUUCGUCAAUGGGGGCAACCCUGAACGAGCAACGCCGCGUGCAGGAAGAAGGUUUUCGGAUCGUAAACUGCUUUUCUCGGGAAGAGAACGGACGGUACCCGAGGAAUCAGCCCCGGCUAACUACGCGCCAGCAGCCGC
rnacentral:rRNA from 1 species